GGGUUGUGAGGUUAAGCGACUAAGCGUACACGGUGGAUGCCCUGGCAGUCAGAGGCGAUGAAGGACGUGCUAAUCUGCGAAAAGCGCCGGCGAGGUGAUAUGAACCCUUGACCCGGCGAUGUCCGAAUGGGGAAACCCAGUGCAAUUCGUUGCACUAUCGUUAACUGAAUACAUAGGUUAACGAGGCGAACCGGGGGAACUGAAACAUCUAAGUACCCCGAGGAAAAGAAAUCAACCGAGAUUCCCCCAGUAGCGGCGAGCGAACGGGGAGCAGCCCGGAGUCUGAAUCAGCUUGUGUGUUAGUGGAACGGUCUGGAAAGUCCGACGGUACAGGGUGAUAGUCCCGUACACGAAAAUGCACAGGUUGUGAACUCGAAGAGUAGGGCGGGACACGUGGUAUCCUGUCUGAAUAUGGGGGGACCAUCCUCCAAGGCUAAAUACUCCUGACUGACCGAUAGUGAACCAGUACCGUGAGGGAAAGGCGAAAAGAACCCCGGCGAGGGGAGUGAAAAAGAACCUGAAACCGUGUACGUACAAGCAGUGGGAGCACCUUCGGGUGUGACUGCGUACCUUUUGUAUAAUGGGUCAGCGACUUAUAUUCUGUAGCAAGGUUAACCGUAUAGGGGAGCCGAAGGGAAACCGAGUCUUAACUGGGCGUUAAGUUGCAGGGUAUAGACCCGAAACCCGGUGAUCUAGCCAUGGGCAGGUUGAAGGUUGGGUAACACUAACUGGAGGACCGAACCGACUAAUGUUGAAAAAUUAGCGGAUGACCUGUGGCUGGGGGUGAAAGGCCAAUCAAACCGGGAGAUAGCUGGUUCUCCCCGAAAGCUAUUUAGGUAGCGCCUCGUGAACUCAUCUUCGGGGGUAGAGCACUGUUUCGGCUAGGGGGCCAUCCCGGCUUACCAACCCGAUGCAAACUACGAAUACCGAAGAAUGUUAUCACGGGAGACACACGGCGGGUGCUAACGUCCGUCGUGAAGAGGGAAACAACCCAGACCGCCAGCUAAGGUCCCAAAGUCAUGGUUAAGUGGGAAACGAUGUGGGAAGGCACAGACAGCCAGGAUGUUGGCUUAGAAGCAGCCAUCAUUUAAAGAAAGCGUAAUAGCUCACUGGUCGAGUCGGCCUGCGCGGAAGAUGUAACGGGGCUAAACCAUGCACCGAAGCUGCGGCAGCGACACUAUGUGUUGUUGGGUAGGGGAGCGUUCUGUAAGCCGUUGAAGGUGUGCUGUGAGGCAUGCUGGAGGUAUCAGAAGUGCGAAUGCUGACAUAAGUAACGAUAAAGCGGGUGAAAAGCCCGCUCGCCGGAAGACCAAGGGUUCCUGUCCAACGUUAAUCGGGGCAGGGUGAGUCGACCCCUAAGGCGAGGCCGAAAGGCGUAGUCGAUGGGAAACAGGUUAAUAUUCCUGUACUUGGUGUUACUGCGAAGGGGGGACGGAGAAGGCUAUGUCAGCCGGGCGACGGUUGUCCCGGUUUAAGCAUGUAGGCGGAGGUUCCAGGUAAAUCCGGUACCUUUUAACGCUGAGGUGUGAUGACGAGGCACUACGGUGCUGAAGUGAUAAAUGCCCUGCUUCCAGGAAAAGCCUCUAAGCAUCAGGUAACACGAAAUCGUACCCCAAACCGACACAGGUGGUCAGGUAGAGAAUACCAAGGCGCUUGAGAGAACUCGGGUGAAGGAACUAGGCAAAAUGGUGCCGUAACUUCGGGAGAAGGCACGCUGAUAUGUAGGUGAAGCCCCUGCGGGCGGAGCUGAAAUCAGUCGAAGAUACCAGCUGGCUGCAACUGUUUAUUAAAAACACAGCACUGUGCAAACACGAAAGUGGACGUAUACGGUGUGACGCCUGCCCGGUGCCGGAAGGUUAAUUGAUGGGGUUAGCGGCAACGCGAAGCUCUUGAUCGAAGCCCCGGUAAACGGCGGCCGUAACUAUAACGGUCCUAAGGUAGCGAAAUUCCUUGUCGGGUAAGUUCCGACCUGCACGAAUGGCGUAAUGAUGGCCAGGCUGUCUCCACCCGAGACUCAGUGAAAUUGAACUCGCUGUGAAGAUGCAGUGUACCCGCGGCAAGACGGAAAGACCCCGUGAACCUUUACUAUAGCUUGACACUGAACACUGGUCCUUGAUGUGUAGGAUAGGUGGGAGGCUUUGAAGCGUGGACGCCAGUCUGCGUGGAGCCAUCCUUGAAAUACCACCCUUUAAUGGCUGGUGUUCUAACGUAGACCCGUGAUCCGGGUUGCGGACAGUGUCUGGUGGGUAGUUUGACUGGGGCGGUCUCCUCCCAAAGAGUAACGGAGGAGCACGAAGG
rnacentral:rRNA from 1 species